UCAAAGGAUAAUUUUGUGUGUUUACUAUUAUAAUCUUUGUACAAAUGGUUUGACAUGAUGAUUAGGAUCAUGAGCUACAUGUUUGAAACAGUAACACGCAUCUGAACCAAAUAUAUAAUAGAGUUUUGUCCGUUACAUAUUACUAUGCAGCGCUUCAAUAUCAUUUUUGUAGAAGCCGAGAUGUGGAAAAUAUUCUUCAGAAGAACUGCUGUAUUUGCUUUCUAUGUAGCUUUUAUCUUUGUAGCAAUCAUGUGGUGCUCUCGUCUCACAGGAGCAACAACUGCCCAGUUCUCAGCUAUCCAAGACUUAAUUAAUUAUAUGACAGACAAUUUGGCGAGGAGGAGAACCAGGGAAGUUCCUGUAUCAAUUGACAGUCCAGUACCUAAUCCAACACAUGGAAACACCCAGCAAUAAACUCAGGUUAAUUAUUUAAACUCAUAUGUUCUCUAUUUUAAGUCAGUAUUUGUGGUACCUGUAAGUUUCAAUGUCUUGGAAAUGACACGAGGGGAUCUUGAGAGUGUUAAUAGAUUCCCCUUUGCUGUCAUGAGGCCUGGAGGAGGGAAAAAAGAUGAUAGCAAAAGGGAAUGCGGAAUUGUGGUAGGUUGUUGCUGCGGCGGUGUUGAUGGAGGAGGCGGAGGGUGCGGUGGUUGUGGAGAUUGAGAGGAUCAUAUCAUAUACAUGUAGGUGUUGUAAUUUAUCAAUAAUCCAAGUAUGAGUUUUUCUUUUAGUUAAUUUUAUCAAAUGGAGGCUGCUCCUCUCUUUGUCGACAGCAGAAUUUGAAUGAAAUUAUCAAAGCCAUUUAAAAAUA